rnacentral:guide_RNA from 1 species
UAAAUUACAAGACAAACGUAGAAGCUUCGAUAGAUAAUGAUAUU